rnacentral:lncRNA from 1 species
CCUCUCUUCCUCCUCCUGGCUCCCAACUUGUUUCUUCUUUCUUAUGUGCCAGUUGCUGUGCUGAGGAUAUGAAGCUAAAUAAGCCUCUCUCCUUUUCCUCAUGAAGCUCAAAAGCUUAGAUAGGAAGCAAAUAAAUAUAAUAUAGCAUGAUAAUUGCAAGAAUAUUAACAUGUCCAAAAGUUAAAGAGAGAAAGCAUAAAGAAGAAAGUGAUGAGCUCUGAGGGGUUGAGGCUUUUGCUCUCUCUUAAAUUGAUUGCUAUUUAGCACCCAUCAAAAGCUCUGCAGAGGGGACCAUCAUUAACGGCAUUUACGAAGACAUCCACUUAUUCCAACAGGAGGAGGAAGACCAACGCUUCUUAUCAUAAACACAAGUUCCUGCUAUACACAACACAUCCUUGAAUUCUAGGGAAGCCAAGAUGUACAUGAAAUGACUGCAGGUCUUAAAGGUCUUGAAUCUAAUUGUGGCACUGGGGCAUAUGUAGAGAUAAAUAUCACGUAGCAUAUGCUAAGGUGAUUUCGAAGAUCUAUUCUAUCUUAAGACACUGUAAGUCUAAUUAUUAAAUGAGCAAUACAGACAUUUAGUCAAAGUGUGUUCUGUUUUGAGGGAGCUGC